UUGCGAUGGCCGAGCGAUGGCGGCAGC
rnacentral:sRNA from 1 species